GAUGAACGCUAGCGGCAGGCCUAAUACAUGCAAGUCGAACGGUGUCUUCGGACAUAGUGGCGCACGGGUGCGUAACACGUAUGCAACCUACCUUACAUUGGGGGAUAGCCUUUCGAAAGGGAGGUUCAUACCGCAUAAAAUAAUUGAGUGGCAUCACUUGAUUAUCAAAUGUCAGGGUUGAAGAUGGGCAUGCGUCCGAUUAGUUUGUUGGUGAGGUAACGGCUCACCAAGACUACGAUCGGUAGGGGAUCUGAGAGGAUGGCCCCCCACACUGGUACUGAGACACGGACCAGACUCGUACGGGAGGCAGCAGUAAGGAAUAUGGGGCAAUGGACGGAAGUCUGAACCAGCCAUGCCGCGUGGAGGAAGACGGUCCUCUGGAUUGUAAACUGCUUUUAUACAGGAAGAAACGACUCUUGCGAGAGGCAUUGACGGUACUGUAAGAAUAAGCAGCGGCUAACUACGUGCCAGCCGCCGCCGUAAAAC
rnacentral:rRNA from 1 species